AGACGGUACAGAAUGAAUCUUGGAGGAGCAGUGCCUGCUGGUGCUCCAAGUGAACCACGUGUAGAUAUGCACAACCUUCAGUUUCCUGCCCU
ensembl:misc_RNA